rnacentral:lncRNA from 1 species
CUAGAAGUAGUUGCUAUGGUCCUGGGUAGUGAUGACAAAUAAGAGUUAAUUUAGAACCAAAGAACCGGAAUCCUCAGUUGUUAACCUCCAAACCAAGAAUUGACACAACUGUUAACAGGAUUCGCUCAAUUCUAACCAACGAAAUUCAACCCAACCGUAACUACAAAACACAUCUAAGAAUCCUCUAACCGCCUAGCUUCUUCCAACAGAAUCACGAUCUUCAAUCUAACAAAUAUGCACCGACGAGCCGUUAGGAAAUGAUGCAUCAAGGAUACCGCAAUAGCAGUCUGGAACUGACUUCCGACUAAACCGUUUCAGCCAAACUUUCUAACCAAAACCUGCAACAUCGCAGCCAGCGGUACAACCCUACACUAAGGUCAAUUAAGCUAUUUAGGGUGGAUCUUUGCCAUAACAUUAAUACAUUAAAAUCAAUCGAGUAAUUUAGGGUGAAUCUCCACAAGGGUAUCCCACAAAUAAAGUGGAAUACCUAGCAGACUGUUUCUUCGGGAGUAUGUAAACCCUUACAAAAUUCAGCAAACGGGUUAGAAUACCAAAUCAGGGUGCAAUCGAGGAUUACACCGCAAAAGAAACACAACAGCAAGAAUGUCAGGCAAAAUAGUGCAUAAUUACAAUGGAAUAGAUCAGAUAAGCAUAGAACAGAACAAACGGAAUAUUAGCGACUGUCACGUUCGCCUCUGCCUCGCCUAGCGAAUACUCGCUACGUGCUCGCUUAGCGAUGUGCUAGCGAGCGGCUGCGGGUUUUGAAUUUCAGAACAGUACGAUCUCAACAUGCUGCACGCCCUAUGGCAUUCAAUUACAGAAAUAACAUGGUCAAACAUUCAGGAUAUUCAGGCAUACUGGACUUCACAUGCAAAAUCUAAUUACAUAUCCAAAAAUUCAAUCAUGAUGCAUUAUGUAUUUAGAGAUUAGAGAAUUGGAAGCAUAAAACGGUAGUGAUGCGCAAACCUGUUGGCAAUUGAAUUGUAACGCUGAAUUGGCAGAUCACUUUUGGUAUCGGGUGGAGUUGGGCGGAGGUAACCUUGGUGCCGGUGAAUUGCCUUCAGGGUUUCCUUUAGGGUUGCUCUGAAUUCUCUUGGCUAACCUCCAAGGUUUGAUUGCUAGGGUUCCGAUUCGUCUCCCGUUUUCCUUCCUCUUUUCGUCCUCCCUCGUUCUGACUGAAGUUGGGGUAUUUAUAAUACUCGUUUUAUGACCUAAUGGGCUCAGAAUGAAGCCCAGAAUUUUCUGGUAUUCGCAAACUUCGCUAGGCGAGCGUUGUAGCGAAGGGUUCGCUAGGCGAAGGAUUUGCUCGCCUAGCGAGCAUGUCAGUUUGGGCCAUUUUCUAGAUUGGGCCACUUGUGAGUUGGGCUUUGUUCCUUUAAGAUCAAUGCCUUGCAAAAUGAGUGAAAGUGCCUUAAAAAAUGCCUUGUACUAGUAGCGGGCAAAUUUUGGGGUAUGACACAUUCCAAUACUAGAAUGGAAACGAUUAUUAUACGUGAACUCAAUCAAUGACAAAUGAUUAUCCCAAACACCUCAUUGCUCGAGAACACAAGCUCCCAACAAGCCCUCUAAUGUCCGAAUGGUCCUCUUUGUCUGACCAUCGGUCUGUGGGUGAUAAGUUGAACUCAACCUCAGCUUCGAACCCAAAGCUUCCUGCAAACUCUCCCAAAAUCUGGAAGUGAACCUCAGAUCUCUAUCUAACACAAUACUCAACGGAACUCCAUGCAACUUCACAAUCACACGGAUAUAUAUCUGUGCUAACUUCUGCAUAGAAAAACUUAUGUUAAUCAUAAUAAAAUGGUCCGACUUCGUCAGUCUAUCAACAGUUACCCAAAUGGCAUCAUGCCCUCUCGGAGUAUUCGGUAGCCCCGUCACAAAAUCCAUAGAAAUGAUAUCCCAUUUCCAUUCUGGAAUAUCCAAUAGUUGUAUCAACCCUGCAGGUUUCUGAUGUUCAACCUUUAACUUUUGACAAGUCAAACAAGCAUAAACAAACUAAGCCACAUCUCGCUUCAUUCCAGACCACCAAAAUAUCUUCUUCAGAUCUUAAUGCAUCUUAGUAGCUCUUGGGUGAAUACUUAAGCUACUUCGAUGACUUUCUUCAAAAAUCAUCUUCUUCAACUCAACUUUGUCAGGAAUAUAAAUUCUUCCUCUGAACCUCAACGCACCUUGUUCAUCCACUUUGAAAUCAUUACUUUCAGUCUUGAAAUUCUGGUGUAGUCAGAUUUCAGAUGUUCUACUCCAAGUCAUGACAUCUGAUCUAACAUUGUACCUAGUACAGCAAGACAGUUAUUACGCUCUGUACUCACACGCACACUCUCACAGAUGUCACGACUUAUCAUUCUAUGUCACCUUAGAAUGAAGGAACACCUAGUUGACUCUGAAAACCAGAAAAAUUUAUUGUCCGAUGAGUGGAGAAUGAACCAGCUUCAGAAACAUCUCACUGCUGAAGAUCACCCAUAUCAUAAAUUUAGCAUAGGGAACUGGGACACUUUGGAAGUUAGACCAAAAGAAAAAAAGAAUGGACAUAAGGAAUGAGCUUAUCAAAUUCCAUGAAGAGAUAUAUUCUGCUAAUUUAAUGCACCUCGUCAUAUAUACGAAUGAAAUCCUUGAUAAAAUUCAAAACCUUGUUGAAGAAAAGUUUCAGACAAACUCUUGGACCAGACAAGUGUAACAUAUCUCUUUCCCAUCACAAAGUAUCUCGGUUUACUAGCAACUGGCAUGACAGUUGAUGCUAGGACACUGGUUCAACAAGCAAGAAAUGAAGUAUCCGAGUUUUGCCACAAAUAUGGAUAUGAGAUGCCUGUGGAUGUGUUGGCUAAAUGGACUGCAGACAAGUCGCAAGUCUAUACUCAACAUGCUUAUAUGAGACCACUAGAAGUAGUUGCUAUGGUCCUGGGUAGUGAUGACAAAUAAGAGUUAAUUUAGAACCAAAGAACCGGAAUCCUCAGUUGUUAACCUCCAAACCAAGAAUUGACACAACUGUUAACAGGAUUCGCUCAAUUCUAACCAACGAAAUUCAACCCAACCGUAACUACAAAACACAUCUAAGAAUCCUCUAACCGCCUAGCUUCUUCCAACAGAAUCACGAUCUUCAAUCUAACAAAUAUGCACCGACGAGCCGUUAGGAAAUGAUGCAUCAAGGAUACCGCAAUAGCAGUCUGGAACUGACUUCCGACUAAACCGUUUCAGCCAAACUUUCUAACCAAAACCUGCAACAUCGCAGCCAGCGGUACAACCCUACGGCAACAUGAUCAACAAUCCAACAAGUCAAAACAAACACCAUUUGUCUCCAUCAGUAGGGCAAGGAAAAUUGAGGGUAGCGUUUUUCAUGACUGUGGAGGGAAUUGCAAUGAAACUUAGAACCAAAGCUACCAAUUGACUAACAGAUUAACUUCAAUUGAACAAAUGUUACAGUAGAUAAACCAAGCAUUCACUAACAGGGACUCACAGUUUAGUUCACCAAUUUGAUUUUUACCAACCUCAUCUCAUUAACUCUAACUAAUUCCAAAUUAAAAACCCAUUGGUUUUGUCACUAACGAACCUUGUGCAACUGGUUUCCACAUCACCAUGAGAACCGGCUUCCGCUACAUCCGAC